CCUGUGGAAAUAGUCUGAAGCCCUCACCAGAAGUAGAUGCCGGCAGCAUGCUUCUUGUACAGCCUGCAGAACGUUCCAUUGUGAGUGCUGUGGCCUGUGUUUCACAUCGUAUGACAACCUGUGGCCCCGCACCUCCCAGACACAGUGCCAGGAAACUAGACGACGUGAAGGCUGACACAUCAAGUGAGAGCAGCACUGAGACGGAAAGGCCCUAGGUCCUUAAUAACCUCACUGACUGUGCUGGUCCUGGAAACAACUCUUUUCUGAACUCUCAGGUAUAGAUAAAUAUUAUUUAUUUUAAAAUCAAUCAUAAAUUUAUUUUACUUUAUUACUUUAUUUUUGUUUAUUUAUUUUCAUCUUCUCAGAGCAAGAAAGGAAUUAUCAAGCCAUUUGCAACUGAGGUUUUUUGUUACCAGCAGUCUAAUACAUUCUAACUGAUAAACUACCUCAAAGGACUGUUGCAAAGAUUAAGGGGGAAAGGUCUGUAUAUAGGGCUGUCCAAUGGACACCUCCAUGAUAAUAAAAAUGUUCUAUGUCUACACUGUACAAUUCAGCAACCACAAGCCGCAUGUGACUGUUGAGCACUUAAAAUGUGGCUAGAGUAACUGAAGAACUGAAUUUUAAAUGUUAUUUAAUUUUCAUUAAUUAAAAUUAGAAAUUUGAAUAGCUCCAUAUGGUUACUGGCCACUGCGUUGUCCAGCAGAGAUCUAUAGAAUCAUCUGGUACAGUGUCUGAAACCUAGUAGGGGUCAAUGAAUGUUGGCUUCUCUUCCUGUGUCCCCUGUACCCCCUCCACACCUCUCUGAAAACUUACUUGGUCACCAAUGUCUCAACAGGUAGCAACAAGAGCAGGAGGCAUUAAUUUUGGAGGCGAGGGGGGCCAAGUGUUUGAAAGAGAACUAGAUUUGAGGGUCAGACCUGUAUAGAUGUUUCCAAUAACAGUGUUUGAACUUUGUUCCUAGUCUAGUUAUCCAGUGAAACCAGGACUCUGUGUUGUUGGAGGCCCAAGAAAAAGUCACUUCUUGCCAUUGUAUAUCCUUUGCCAGUGUUAUCCUUUGGGCUGCAUAAGAAGUUGGUGUGCAGUUAAGUGCUAACUUAGGACUUAGCAGAACAAUACUUCUAGACAAUUUAACAAGCCAGUGAGUAUGAUAAACGUCUCCUAAGAGCCCCAGCCAUCUGAGGGCUCUUAUCAAUUAAGCCGCUGAGGCUUAGGUGGUAUGUUCUGUGCUGUGAUCAUUUUAGCAACAUCAUGGCAGGUAAUGUCACCUCAUAGAAUGACCUUCAGAGGGAAUUCCAGGCUGCAGGGGUUGGGAUCCU
rnacentral:lncRNA from 1 species